rnacentral:rRNA from 1 species
GGCGGACGGGUGAGUAAUGCCUAGGAAUCUGCCUGGUAGUGGGGGAUAACGCUCGGAAACGGACGCUAAUACCGCAUACGUCCUACGGGAGAAAGCAGGGGACCUUCGGGCCUUGCGCUAUCAGAUGAGCCUAGGUCGGAUUAGCUAGUUGGUGAGGUAAUGGCUCACCAAGGCGACGAUCCGUAACUGGUCUGAGAGGAUGAUCAGUCACACUGGAACUGAGACACGGUCCAGACUCCUACGGGAGGCAGCAGUGGGGAAUAUUGGACAAUGGGCGCAAGCCUGAUCCAGCAAUGCCGCGUGCAGGAAGAAGGCCUUCGGGUUGUAAACUGCUUUUGUACGGAACGAAACGGUCUGGGUUAAUACCCUGGGCUAAUGACGGUACCGUAAGAAUAAGCACCGGCUAACUACGUGCCAGCAGCCGCGGUAAUACGUAGGGUGCAAGCGUUAAUCGGAAUUACUGGGCGUAAAGCGUGCGCAGGCGGUGAUGUAAGACAGUCGUGAAAUCCCCGGGCUCAACCUGGGAAUUGCGAUUGUGACUGCAUCGCUGGAGUGCGGCAGAGGGGGAUGGAAUUCCGCGUGUAGCAGUGAAAUGCGUAGAUAUGCGGAGGAACACCGAUGGCGAAGGCAAUCCCCUGGGCCUGCACUGACGCUCAUGCACGAAAGCGUGGGGAGCAAACAGGAUUAGAUACCCUGGAGUCCACGCCCUAAACGAUGUCAACUGGUUGUUGGGUCUCUUCUGACUCAGUAACGAAGCUAACGCGUGAAGUUGACCGCCUGGGGAGUACGGCCGCAAGGUUGAAACUCAAAGGAAUUGACGGGGAACCGCACAGCGGUGGAUGAUGUGGUUAAUUCGAUGCAACGCGAAAACCUUACCCACUUUGACUGGACGGAGUUGGCCGAAAUGGCUAUGGCCGAAAGAGAACCGUAACCAGGGUGCUGCAUGGCUGUCAUCCGCUCGAGUCGGAGAAG